rnacentral:pre_miRNA from 1 species
UCCGGAAAUACUUGUCAUCAAAAUGGAUAAAAGGAAAUGUAUCUAGACGUAUUUUAGUUUUAGAUACAUCUAUUUUUAUCCAUUUUGAUGACAAGUAUUUUUGGA